rnacentral:rRNA from 1 species
GAUCAUGGUUCAGGAUGAACGCUGGCGGCGUGCCUAACACAUGCAAGUCGAGCGAAGCGGUUUUAAGGAAGUUUCGGAUGGAAUUAAAACUGACUGAGCGGCGGACGGGUGAGUAACGCGUGGGUAACCUGCCUCAUACAGGGGGAUAACAGUUAGAAAUGGCUGCUAAUACCGCAUAAGCACACAGCUUCGCAUGGAGCAGUGUGAAAAACUCCGGUGGUAUGAGAUGGACCCGNGU